GUCUCAGUUCGGAUCGCAGGCUGCAACCCGCCUGCGUGAAGCCGGAAUUGCUAGUAAUCGCGGAUCAGCAUGCCGCGGUGAAUACGUUCCCGGGCCUUGUACACACCGCCCGUCACACCAUGAGAGCCGGGGGGACCCGAAGUCCGUAGCCUAACCGCAAGGAGGGCGCGGCCGAAGGUAAAACUGGUGAUUGGGGUGAAGUCGUAACAAGGUAGC
rnacentral:rRNA from 1 species